rnacentral:rRNA from 1 species
AUUGAACGCUGGCGGCAGGCCUAACACAUGCAAGUCGAGCGGAUGAAGGGAGCUUGCUCCUGGAUUCAGCGGCGGACGGGUGAGUAAUGCCUAGGAAUCUGCCUGGUAGUGGGGGAUAACGUCCGGAAACGGGCGCUAAUACCGCAUACGUCCUGAGGGAGAAAGUGGGGGAUCUUCGGACCUCACGCUAUCAGAUGAGCCUAGGUCGGAUUAGCUAGUUGGUGGGGUAAAGGCCCACCAAGGCGACGAUCCGUAACUGGUCUGAGAGGAUGAUCAGUCACACUGGAACUGAGACUCGGUCCAGACUCCUACGGGAGGCAGCAGUGGGGAAUAUUGGACAAGGGGCGAAAGCCUGAUCCAGCCAUGCCGCGUGUGUGAAGAAGGUCUGCGGAUUGUAAAGCACUUUAAGUUGGGAGGAAGGGCAGUAAGUUAAUACCUUGCUGUUUUGACGUUACCAACAGAAUAAGCACCGGCUAACUUCGU